rnacentral:rRNA from 1 species
CACUCCUACGGGAGGCAGCAGUGGGGAAUAUUGCACAAUGGGCGCAAGCCUGAUGCAGCCAUGCCGCGUGUAUGAAGAAGGCCUUCGGGUUGUAAAGUACUUUCAGCGGGGAGGAAGGCGAUAAGGUUAAUAACCUUGUUGAUUGACGUUACCCGCAGAAGAAGCACCGGCUAACUCCGUGCCAGCAGCCGCGGUAAUACGGAGGGUGCAAGCGUUAAUCGGAAUUACUGGGCGUAAAGCGCACGCAGGCGGUCUGUCAAGUCGGAUGUGAAAUCCCCGGGCUCAACCUGGGAACUGCAUUCGAAACUGGCAGGCUAGAGUCUUGUAGAGGGGGGUAGAAUUCCAGGUGUAGCGGUGAAAUGCGUAGAGAUCUGGAGGAAUACCGGUGGCGAAGGCGGCCCCCUGGACAAAGACUGACGCUCAGGUGCGAAAGCGUGGGGAGCAAACAGGAUUAGAAACCCUAGUAGUCCCAUG